UACAGCCAUAUCACAUUGAAAACACUAGUUCUCCUCUGAUCACACAAGUUAAGCAAUGUCGAGCCUGGUCAGUAACUAGAUGGGUGACCACUUAGGAAUACCAGCUUCUG